UGUUAAAUAUUUCAUUUCUGUCUCAAAUCAUGUGAUGCUGUUUCAGAAGGUUUUCAAACAAGCAGAUGUGUUCAACAACUUGUAUGUGCCAGGCAAGGAGACAAUACUGGAGAAAAACAACCAAAAAAUGCCACUGACACUUAGCAGAUCCCCCCGGCAAUUCAUCAUUGUUUGUAUUGCUGCUUUUAUUACUGUAGGAUGCACCUCCUCUAGAUGUACAUACUCAUGUUGUCUCACUUCAAGACCCAUACAACUGUAUAUUUUUCUCCCAGCUGCUGGGAAUCUGCACGGACACUGGAGUCCUGUAACUUCAGACAUGAUGUCAAAGUGAGCUUUGAGAUUACUUCCUUGAUAGUGUCUGUGCCCCGCAUGAACAGUGGGCCAGGCCACAGAAGCUUGUGGAAGUCUACACCAGUAGCAAAACUGGUGAUUGUUUCCAGCUUUCAGAGGCAGAGAAAAAUUUCAUCUAUUUCGGGAGAUUUGCUGCUGGUGACAGAAUCCACAGCUGAAUUAUGACUCUUGCAAGAUUCUUUUUGAAACCUGUGAAGAAUGCUUUUCAUACUUCAACAUAAUUUCCAUUUUUGAAGCAAACAAUACAUCCUUUCGAGAUGAAGAGGUGAUUCCAAAGAGUUCACAUUGACAAAGAGUUACUUGGAUUUUGUUAUACAAAGGGAUGAAACUGGCUGUAGAGAGGACUGAGGGCAAUUGCGGCCAUUGCCUGGCAAUGCUCAGAAAGAAAAUGCUCAAAGAAAGACAACACACAGUACUUCAGAGCAAAGCUGAGAUUGUGGACAAUACUCUGAAAAUUCCUUGACAGUCAGGGGCUCAGUUUAUCACAAGGAUGAAACAGAAUUAAACCCUUUGAAAGUAUGAACAGCUCCUGCCAUCUGUAUUAGAAAAAUUUGAGGCCAGUGCGUUGUACUCUGGGUUUAAAACCUAGGACUGGUCCAUCAGGUAAUGUAAAUCAACAUAUCCAGAGAAAUCAGAGGAGAAAUCGCCAAAUUAUUGAUGCUGAACACCUCGUCCCAGAUUUGUUUAACUAAAACUAUGAGGAAAAUACAGAUCAGAUCUUGCUGCUACAAAAUCUAGAGCUAACAUAUGUACUGACGUCAGAGGUGCAAAACUUGACCCUAAGUACAUUGCACUGGGAAUCAUUAAACCUUUAAAGAUUUUAAUCAUACACAGUGUUGCCAGGCAGUUUUGCAAAUUAAA